CCUACGGGUGGCAGCAGUGAGGAAUAUUGGUCAAUGGGCGUAAGCCUGAACCAGCCAAGUCGCGUGAGGGAUGAAGGUUCUAUGGAUCGUAAACCUCUUUUAUAAGGGAAUAAAGUGCGGGACGUGUCCCGUUUUGUAUGUACCUUAUGAAUAAGGAUCGGCUAACUCCGUGCCAGCAGCAGCGGUAAUACGUAGAAUCAGAGCGUUAUCCGGAUUUCUUGGGUUUAAAGGUUGCGUAGGCGGCCUUUUAAGUCAUCGGUUAAAGUCUGUGGCUCAACCAUAGAAUUGCCUUUGAAACUGGGAGGCUUGAGUAUGUUUGCGGCAGGCGGAAUGCGGGGGGUAGCGGUGAAAUGCUUAGAUAUCACGCAGAACCCCGAUGGCGAAGGCAGCCUGCCAAGCCAUGACUGACGCUGAUGCACGAAAGCGUGGGGAUCAAACAGGAUUAGAUACCCCGGUAGUC
rnacentral:rRNA from 1 species